rnacentral:rRNA from 1 species
UACGUAGGGUGCAAGCGUUGUCCGGAAUUAUUGGGCGUAAAGAGCUCGUAGGCGGUCUGUCGCGUCUGCUGUGAAAACUCAGGGCUUAACCCUGAGCUUGCAGUGGGUACGGGCAGACUAGAGUGCGGUAGGGGAGACUGGAAUUCCUGGUGUAGCGGUGGAAUGCGCAGAUAUCAGGAGGAACACCGAUGGCGAAGGCAGAUCGCUGGGCCGUAACUGACGCUGAGGAGCGAAAGCAUGGGGAGCGAACAGG